UUUUGUAAAUGUCGUGUGUUGCUCAUAAAUUCUCUGUUGCUAUUGCGCAAUGAUAUUUCUCGAAUCGGAUUACUCUCCGAAUGACAGCUAGGACCGUAAUCUUGAUUGAUGCUCUACACCCCCAUGCUCGUCAGAAUGUUCGGACUCGUGGUUCAACCAUGGAAAUUUUGGCUGAUUCUUUGGACAAAAUGUUUGUCUGCACAGACUCGGGAUCUCAGUCUGCGCGGACUGGGGACCUGGACCAUCGUUUUUUAAGUCUUGCAGUUAAUGCCUCGAAUUUGUGCCGUGAAUUUGUGCAAUUUAUGCCUCGAAUUUUGCAAUUUAAUGCCUUGAAUUUGUGCAAUUAAUGCCCUCGUCGUGCAGUUUAUGCCUUGAAUUUGUGCAAU
rnacentral:lncRNA from 1 species